rnacentral:rRNA from 1 species
GGAAUAUUGGACAAUGGGCGAAAGCCUGAUCCAGCGACGCCGCGUGCGGGAUGAAGGCCUUCGGGUCGUAAACCGCUUUUGUUGGGGAACAAUUUUUGAGCGUACCCAACGAAUAAGAGGUUGCUAACUCUGUGCCAGCAGCAGCGGUAAUACAGAGACCUCAAGCGUUAUCCGGAUUCAUUGGGCGUAAAGCGUGCCGAUCGGCGGCCUAGAAAGUCUUCUGUUAAAUCCUGCGGCUCAACCGCAGAAUCGCAGGGGAUACUAUUAGGCUAGAGGGGCAAAGAGGUGCUUGGAACGAAUGGAGUAGCAGUGAAAUGCGUUGAUAUCAUUCGGAACACCAAAUGCGUAGGCAGAGCACUGGGUGCCACCUGACGCUGCUAGGACGAAAGCGUGGGUAGCGAA